rnacentral:rRNA from 1 species
UACGUAGGGGGCAAGCGUUGUUCGGAAUUACUGGGCGUAAAGGGCGCGUAGGCGGCACGGCAAGUCAGGAGUGAAAGCCCUGGGCUCAACCCGGGAACUGCUUUUGAAACUGCCGAGCUAGAGUGCGGAAGGGGCAACUGGAAUUCCCAGUGUAGCGGUGAAAUGCGUAGAUAUUGGGAAGAACACCUGAGGCGAAGGCGGGUUGCUGAGCCGACACUGACGCUGAGGCGCGAAAGCGUGGGGAGCGAACAGG